UACGGGGGGGGCAAGCGUUGUUCGGAAUUACUGGGCGUAAAGGGCGCGUAGGCGGCCUACUAAGUCGGACGUGAAAUCCCUCGGCUCAACCGAGGAACUGCGUCCGAUACUGGAUGGCUUGAAUUCGGGAGAGGGAUGCAGAAUUCCAGGUGUAGCGGUGAAAUGCGUAGAUAUCUGGAGGAAUACCGGUGGCGAAGGCGGCAUCCUGGACCGAGAUUGACGCUGAUGAGCGAAAGCUAGGGGAGCAAAC
rnacentral:rRNA from 1 species